rnacentral:tRNA from 1 species
GGUAAGAUACUCAAGUGGCCGAAGAGGUCUCACUGCUAACGAGAUAGGUCGUAAACAAGCGACGCGAGGGUUCGAAUCCCUCUCUUACCU